GGUGGCAUAGUGGUUGCGUGCUUGGCUCCUAACCAAAAGGUUGGUGGUUAGAACCCACCAACCG
rnacentral:tRNA from 1 species